CCCGCCCAAGAAGAAGGCAGAGAGCCUGCAAGCUCCUGCUGGCACACUUUCUCCUCCUGAGGGACUAGUUCUGCCAUUUAUUUAGAAGCCAUGUUUAUGGAGGUAGAAUUGUUUACAGAGUAGAAGUCAUCCUUUUGAAUGUGCAGAUCAGUGAGAUUUGACAAAUACAUUCAGCAGUGGAACCACCAUCACGAUAGAGUUUCCUUGUGAGUCUUUGGAGUCCAUUCUCUCCCCCAGCGGCAGCUCGUGGCGGCCACUGCUUGCUUUUCCCAGCGUGUCAGACAGAUGGGCUCAUACGUUGCAAAUGUCGCCGUGAUAAGAUCAGUAUUUAGAACCCUGGUGACAUCGCUGCCGUGCUGAGCUGCCAGUCGAGGGAGAUCUCAGGAAUGUCUGAACAUGCCUGUGUAAUCAGAACCCAGAAAAAGGAAAAGAGCAUUCUUCACCACACAGAAGUCCUGAGGGCUGACCAUCAAACCUACUUAGAAAUAAGACCUUGAAUAGGCUGAAUAUGAUCCCGGAAGGAGGCAGCACCAGCAGGAACCAGGCGUUGUCCACUCAGAGUCACUCCCCAGGGCACCCUGCCUCCUUCUUUCUCUUUGUCCUUGUUAUGUAAAAUGUGUUUCACUGUCAACCUGAUUUUUAUUCUAGAAGGAUAA